GCAGAGGAAAUGGAGGCUAGGGGAGGGACGAUUGACGGAGGAGUUAUCCUGGGAGUGGAAGACUGGAAGAGACAAUUCUCGAAAGAAGUAGAAAAGUUCAGUAGCUCCAGAAAAAGAGGAGUCGACGUGUGCAGAAGUCCUGGUAAUCUGGUCCUUGUUCCCGUCUGGAUACCAGCUUCCUUCAGCAGCGUAGGCGGUGGUCCCUGAGGCCAGUGGAAGGAGUCAAACUUGCGGGAAUUUUGCAGUUUUUCUGCAGGUCUGUUGUUUCUAGCAAGACCCAAAGCUAGAAAAGGAGGAGGAAGAAACUAACUCGAUCAGUGCCAGAAGUCAUUGUAUUCAAAGAGGAAUAAACAAGAAAAAAAAGAAAAGAAGGAAGGAAGAGAGGUAGACAAAUACAAGAUGAAAUCCUGUCAAAAAAUUGAAGGAAAACCAGAAAAUGAGAGUGAACCAAAGCAUGAGGAAGAGCCAAAGCCUGAGGAAAAGCCAGAGGAGAAGGAGAAGCUAGAGGAGGAGGCCAAAGCAAAAGGAACUUUUAGAGAAAGGCUGAUUCAAUCUCUCCAGGAGUUUAAAGAAGAUAUACACAACAGGCAUUUAAGCAAUGAAGAUAUGUUUAGAGAAGUGGAUGAAAUAGAUGAGAUAAGGAGAGUCAGAAACAAACUUAUAGUGAUGCGUUGGAAGGUUAAUCGAAACCAUCCUUACCCCUAUUUAAUGUAGUUUACCUUGAUUUUGAUCUGAUAUUAACAAUACCAUAUAGCUUGCUUUUUAUUAGCAUUUCUUGAUAUUCCUUUGUCCAUAUUUCUACUUAUAACCUGUUGCUAUUAAUGGUUUUAGAUGUAUCUCUUGUUAUCUGCAUCUCAUUGUUUAUUGUAUUUUGAACCAAUCUACAAGUCUCUGUCUUUUAAUAAAAGAACUUUACACAUUUGUAAAAAAUAGGUUCUUGGUAGGAUAUAAAAUGGAAAAAGGCUAAGUAAUAUGUGAAUAUCAUAUUUUUGAAAGGUAAAAAGUACAUUUGUAUAUUACAUAUAUGGACAUAACUUGUGAAGGAUGAAAGAAAGUACAGCCUCUCGGUGGUGGGAUUAUGAAUGAUUUUUCUCCUUUUGCUUAUUUGUAUUUUCUAUAUUCCUAAAAUUAACACACAUUAUUAUUGCUAGAAUAAUAAAAGUUUUAUAAAAAAAGAA